AACGCACCUUGCGCCUUUUGGUAUUCCGAAAGGCAUGCCUGUUUGAGUGUCAUGAAAUCUCAAUCCCCCUGGGUCUAUGAUCUGGGCUGGGACUUGGACUUGGACGCUGCCGGUUACACGGCUCGUCUCAAAUGACUUAGUGGAUCUCUCUGCAUCCGUGACAGACGUAAUAAGUUUCGUCUCGUCCCUUGCUGUCUGAGUCUGCUCCUAACCUGCCAUCGUGCACUUUUAGACUCUGACCUCAAAUCAGGUAGGACUACCCGCUGAACUUAA
rnacentral:misc_RNA from 1 species